rnacentral:rRNA from 1 species
ACGCUCGACACCUACGGGAGGUAGCAGUGGGGAAUAUUGCACAAUGGGGGAAACCCUGAUGCAGCGACGCCGCGUGGAGGAAGAAGGUCUUCGGAUUGUAAACUCCUGUUGUUGGGGAAAAAGAGGAUGGUACCCAACAAGGAAGUGACGGCUAACUACGUGCCAGCAGCACGGUAAUCUGAGCGGGCUGGCAAGGC